rnacentral:piRNA from 1 species
UCGCCAAGAUGGCGCCGAAAGCGA